AUUGAACGCUGGCGGCAUGCCUUACACAUGCCAGUCGAACGGUAACAGGUCUUCGGAUGCUGACGAGUGGCGAACGGGUGAGUAAUACAUCGGAACGUGCCCGAUCGUGGGGGAUAACGAAGCGAAAGCUUUGCUAAUACCGCAUAAGAUCUACGGAUGAAAGCAGGGGACCGCAAGGCCUUGCGCGAACGGAGCGGCCGAUGGCAGAUUAGGUAGUUGGUGGGAUAAAAGCUUACCAAGCCGACGAUCUGUAGCUGGUCUGAGAGGACGACCGGCCACACUGGGACUGAGACACGGCCCAGACUCCUACGGGAGGCAGCAGUGGGGAAUUUUGGACAAUGGGCGAAGGCCUGAUCCAGCCAUGCCGCGUGCAGGAUGAAGGCCUUCGGGUUGUAAACUGCUUUUGUACGGAACGAAAAGACUCUGGUUAAUACCUGGGGUCCAUGACGGUACCGUAAGAAUAAGCACCGGCUAACUACGUG
rnacentral:rRNA from 1 species